rnacentral:piRNA from 1 species
UAGUUAUGUCACAGGAAAGCAUCUCAUAU